CUAUACUAUAAGUACAUCUAGGUAAAGGAUCAAAAGAGUCUUUGAUGAUGGUCACUGUGUUGUGCAAUGCCCCAGAGGAAAGUUUGAAUUUAAAGGGCAAUGUCAUGUGUGCCAUCAUACCUGCCUGGAUUGCAGUGGAAGUGAACCUAACAAAUGCACCUCUUGUGGAACAGACAGAAGAGGGACUGAACGUUUCUUGUAUCGAGGGGAGUGCAGAGAGAGCUGUCCUCCAGGUCACUACCACGCAGAGCAUACCUGUAUGCCUUGUUCUGGCCACUGUGAGGUGUGCCUGAACUCUCACCAGUGCAAAAGAUGUUUCAGAGGCUACUACCUUACUGAAAAUAUGUGUCAGAAGCAUAGUUGUAAAGAAGGUGAAGUGGAAGAUCCUGACUCUGAAGACUGCAUACCAUGUUCAGAUGGAUGCCAGAAUUGCAAAGAGG